rnacentral:rRNA from 1 species
UGGGGAAUUUUGGGCAAUGGGCGAAACCUGAUCCAGAAUGCCGCGUGUGUGAAGAAGGCCUUCGGGUUGUAAAGCACUUUUCGUCCGGAAAGAAAUCCUUGGCUCUAAUACAGUCGGGGGAUGACGGUACCGGAAGAAUAAGCACCGGCUAACUACGUGCCAGCAGCCGCGGUAAUACGUAGGGUGCAAGCGUUAAUCGGAAUUACUGGGCGUAAAGCGUGCGCAGGCGGUUUGCUAAGACCGAUGUGAAAUCCCCGGGCUCAACCUGGGAACUGCAUUGGUGACUGGCAGGCUAGAGUAUGGCAGAGGGGGGUAGAAUUCCACGUGUAGCAGUGAAAUGCGUAGAGAUGUGGAGGAAUACCGAUGGCGAAGGCAGCCCCCUGGGCCAAUACUGACGCUCAUGCACGAAAGCGUGGGGAGCAAACAGGAUUAGAUACCCUGGUAGUCCACGCCCUAAACGAUGUCAACUAGUUGUUGGGGAUUCAUUUCCUUAGUAACGUAGCUAACGCGUGAAGUUGACCGCCUGGGGAGUACGGUCGCAAGAUUAAAACUCAAAGGAAUUGACGGGGUCAUAGCUGUUUCCU